rnacentral:rRNA from 1 species
UCCUACGGGGCGCAGCAGUGAGGAAUAUUGGUCAAUGGGCGGGAGCCUGAACCAGCCAAGUCGCGUGAGGGAAGACGGUCCUAUGGAUUGUAAACCUCUUGAGGCGGGGAGCAAUGCCGGGCACGCGUGACCGGAGAGAGAGUACCCGCAGAAUAAGCAUGGGCUAACUCCGUGCCAGCAGCCGCGGGAAGACGGAGGAUGCGAGCGUUAUCCGGAUUUAUUGGGUUUAAAGGGAGCGUAGGCGGAUUUUUAAGUCAGCGGUAAAAUGUACGGGCUCACCCCGGGCCGGACGUGGAAAGUG